GUGCUUGCUUCAGUAGCUCAUAUACUAAAAUUGGAACAAUACAGAGAAGAUCAGCAUGGCCUCUGCACAAGAAUGAUAUGCAAAUUCAUGAAGUAUUCCAUAUUUAA